rnacentral:rRNA from 1 species
UACGUAGGUGGCAAGCGUUGUCCGGAAUUAUUGGGCGUAAAGCGCGCGCAGGCGGUCCUUUUAAGUCUGAUGUGAAAGCCCACGGCUCAACCGUGGAGGGUCAUUGGAAACUGGGGAACUUGAGUGCAGAAGAGAAAAGCGGAAUUCCACGUGUAGCGGUGAAAUGCGUAGAGAUGUGGAGGAACACCAGUGGCGAAGGCGGCUUUUUUGGUCUGUAACUGACGCUGAGGCGCGAAAGCGUGGGGAGCAAACAGG